UAAACCGUGGCUCAGUUCAGAUCGUAGGCUGCAACUCGCCUACGUGAAGGAGGAAUCGCUAGUAAUCGCAGGUCAGCAUACUGCGGUGAAUACGUUCCCGGGCCUUGUACACACCGCCCGUCACACCAUGGAAGUUGGCCACGCCCGAAGCCGUUACUCCAACCCUCGGGAGGAGGACGUCGAAGGUGGGGCUGAUGACUGGGGUGAAGUCGUAACAAGGUAUCCGUACCGGAAGGUGCGGAUGGAUCACCUCCUAA
rnacentral:rRNA from 1 species